UACGUAGGGGGCAAGCGUUGUCCGGAAUUAUUGGGCGUAAAGAGCGUGUAGGCGGUCCGGUAAGUCGGCUGUGAAAGUCCAGGGCUCAACCCUGGGAUGCCGGUCGAUACUGCCGGACUAGAGUUCGGAAGAGGCGAGUGGAAUUCCCGGUGUGAGCGGUGAAAUGCGCAGAUAUCGGGAGGAACACCUAUGGCGAAGGCAGCUCGCUGGGACGUUACUGACGCUGAGACGCGAAAGCGUGGGGAGCAAACAGG
rnacentral:rRNA from 1 species